UGAAAAUUUGUCGUUGAUACUUAAGUGCUGACCGCAGCAACAGUUGAAUACACCUCGUUCUGUGGGGCAUCUCUUAAAAGAAAAAUAGCCUCAAAUCCAAUGGCAGCAAAGCCAUGGCUCUUUCUUUUUUUUUUUUUUUUUCUUUUUUUUUUUUUUCUUUUUCACACAAUGAGCAUCAGAUGCAGAGGAAGCUUUUCGGGCUUCCCUGCUUUCAUCCGUUAGGAGGAGCUUCAGGAGCUGUGUGCAAAGCAAGACCUCUGCCUGCAGCCCAGUGAGGACAAUGCUGGCAACAUUCACUGCUUUAUUUCACACAUUUCUGUGGGCUUUCAGUGACAGCAGCUGGUCUCUGGGCUAGGAGGGCAAAUGAAAAACACAAGAGCUGUUAUUGCAGAUAUGCUGUUUUUGAAGAGGAGAUAAUCCAACCAAAAGUACUGGCAAAUGUUUGUUCCUUAACGUACAGCCUUUAUUUUGCAGAAGCUUGCUAGUGGAAAAAAAAUAUGGGACCAACAAUUAUGCAAAUAUUGUUUUCUUCGCAAGGACAAAAUUAAAGCUGGUGUGCUUCAAGCUACACAUUUUUCCACAUCUCCCAUGUUUGGAUUUAAAGAAAGCUUACAUUUUUCAGCAGCGUUACAACUAAAUCUGUUUGGGACUGGGGAGACAAAAAUGCAAAGGAAACCAGACAUAAAGGAACGUAAAGAGAGAGAUGAAAUGAGAGUGGUAAUGGAGGAAGAAAACAUGAGAGAAAAUGCUGUUCCUAUAAAGACUGUAUGUCUAAGCCAGGCUUGCGGAGCUCCAGCCCAGGGGCUGGUGGGUGCCAACAGAGACGGACACUGCUGAUGGCUGCUGCCUCCCUGUGCCCCGGGCCUCCAAAGAGGCUGUGAAAUGUGGAACUGCAGAAGCAACACCGUGGGCCUGGAAGGAGCCAGGAGGAUGUGAGAAGGAGAGAUGGAGGAGAAAACAGUAUAAAUAUGUCAUAACGCUGCUAGUGACAAGCCGCUUGUCGCCGUCACAGACAAAAAUAAAUGAAUGGCAACCCUGUCAUCACAAAUGUAUGGAAAGAGCAUAAUAAUUAAGAAAUGAUCUGAAGUAACAACAUGACUAAUAGCAGAAUGGUAAGGAGCUGGUGGACAGCUGUCACAAUAGGCAGGUUCAGUCAUGGAGAGUGUUGCCAUGGAUUUCAAUAGAGCGCAGACUGACAAAGUUGCCUGCAGUCAAAUUAAAAUGGAAGAAGUUCCAAAAUGAGAGCAUACUCGAGAUCAUCUCCAGAAAUAAAAGCCUGCUUCAGCUCUAUUGGUGGCAGUGAAAGCCAAAAGCAGGGCACAGCUGUGGUAAGAAACAGAAAAAGCAGAAAACAGACAGUGUCCUGCACUGCCAACUCCUGUUGGAUGCUAUUCUGAACCUGAUGCAACAGAAAAAAGUCAAGGCUUCAAAAAAGAAACCUCUUCCUCAAUCCCCAAAAUCUUUGCUUUUGGACUUCUAGAGAGACCCCUUUAGAACAACAGCGUGCACAUAUUCCUAAUACAAUAUUUGCAAUAUUUUGUGGGUAGUCUAUGAGGGCUGGUCCAAAAGUAAUUUACCUUCUAUUUUAUGCUGAUAGCCUGCAAUGUAUGCUAUAGAGGUGUAUGCCGGAGUGGCAGCAGAGGUUGAACCUUCUCACCAAUGUUCUAUUGAAGGCCAUGUGACAGACGGCAGCAGAGGAGCAGUCUGACAGAAUAGCAUCUGACAUAGAAGUGUGGAUGAAGCAAAGGUGUGUCAUUGAAUUCCUCUGUGCAGAAAAAAUGGCACCCUUUGACAUUCACUGACACUUACUGAACGUUUAUGGAGACCAAACAGUGGAUGUGAGCACAAUGAGGUGGUGGGUGAUGAGUUUCAGCUGUGGCAACAGUGACAGUGGAUCACCUCCACUGGUGCAGAUGGUUACAAGCGUGGCAUGGAGACUCUUGCUUAUGCUGGUGAAAAUGCAUAGCUAAUGGUGGUGAUGGUGUUGAAAAACAGUAGCUGUGAAUUUGCUCUGUCAAAUAGUGUUAUUGUGCUCUUUGUAGCUGUUAUAGUUCCCAUGGAAAUGAAUAGGAGGCUUACUUUCAGGGUGACCUACAUAUUGCAUUGCUCUGAUGCUGUCAUUGAUCUGUGAAGUGAGAGAAUAACAAACUCCAGGUACUUAAAAGCUCCCAUUAUGAAACCCAGGCACAGAAAAUACAAGCUUAUUUGCCCACCCUGACCAAUAUACUCAUUGCAUUAAGGAAACUGAUUGAUGAUAGGUGACGUCUGGCACUUGCGUUUGCAUUUUAUGGCUUAAGAAUUGAGGUGGAGUACUAAAUAAAUUAAGGUGAUUCACAGUCAGUAAAAAUCAGCAUUCCCUAAGCACGUAUGAAAACACUGAAGUUAAAGCUGUAGAGACACAGAUAACAGCUGGCCUUGGAAUUAAAGCUUAAGUUUGCUUCCAACAUUAAUACUGUGGUACAAAGCCAAAAAAAUACAGAAAUGCCCCUCAUGCUAUUCUUGUAUUCUUAGAUAGGAAGAAAAUACAAAGCUUUCACUGAAAGUUACUCAAAAUCACAUUGUAUUUCUGGUAUACGGCCCCUGUAUUAAGGACCCAUUCCAGCAUUUAAUGUAUUACAUUUGAUUCUGCAUUGCAUGAGAAGUUAAUCAAAGGAUAUCAGGCUCUAUGGUCCACUCAGCAAAAGAUUUGGACUCUACGUCAUGGCUAAAUAUAUUUGUAAGGCACAGGGGAAGUUAAUGCACAAAGCGACCCUUCUGAGCAGUUUAUGUGCCAGUUUAUUGUAAGCUGAAAAUUGCUUCUGGAGAUGAAAGACAAUCUUUUCCAUUAUUAACUAUAACAUAAUAACACUUAAUGAUUCUGAAAUAGUUUCAAAGCCAGGGAUGAGAAUAUGCUCAUCAUAAUGCAACUUAACACUUCCGAAAGAGAGUGCAUUACUGAGAUAUUCACCUUUCAAACUCAGAAUAUGUGGAUGCAAGAAAAGCCUUAUCAUAGUGUAGACACCAUCACAAAUUUGUUCUGGAAUUUUCAUGGUCAUUUUUACAUAAAUAUAGUAUUCUUUAAGAUUUGUUGUGUAAAAUGUAUGCAGAAUCAGAAUUUAAGUAGGAAGGGACCCUUAAAGGUUGCAGGAAUGAUUUCAGAUAACAGUUUUGCAAUGUAAUCUCAUGACUGCAAAAGCUGUGUGCGUGUUCACCAUACUAAUCUCAGGUGAAUUGUGAUGAAUUUCUACAUGCUGUGGACUCCGGUGAUUUCUCAGGCCCAACAGUAGUGGUGAAGGCUUUAAUCAGCCAUGCUUAAGAGCAGCAGAGGGCAGAAAGACAUUUCUUUGGUCACUUCUGGUCAUUCUAAAACUUUUGCUGAUUUAUUAGGACAUGCUGCAAAUGACAACAAGGUAGAGAGGUGUGUGUGUGUAUUUUAUAAUCCCAUCCUGUUUUCUUAUAUUUAGAACACUUCUAAGAAAUAAGCAUGAUUUGCUCCUGCUGCUUUCUUUUCUUUUUUUCUUUCCUUUUUUUUUUUUUUUUUUUAACAUAAUUUCCUACAUUGGCACACAUCCAUUUUUUUCCCCCCCAGAAGGUCGUAUUGCAAGGUACACAUUUUUCCAUGCGGCAGUGUUAAACCUUUUCAUGUGUGAUAUAUUGCAGGCAGUUGAGCCAGAGGAAUUUGCAGCCAAUAUGCAAAUAAUUUCUGGAGUACAGCUCUUUAUUUUGCCCUUAUUGCUCAAACCCAGUCAGGGAAUCUUUGUGUGACUUGUGAGUAACCUCAAUGGCAAGGGAAGCUGUGGCUCACAGCGUUAUGUAGCUUUGUCUUUCUGCUACAGUAAUGCUGUUUAAAGAGGAGUUUUCUCUCCCAAGUCAGAGCUAAUCCUUAAUAAUAUUGUAAAGCUUCAGAGUCUUCUUCAUGACAGAAAGGGCACGUUCUACACAGAAUUAGAUUAUUUGUUAAAUUAGUCUUUGUAUUCCUCUCAUCUGUAAACAAUUAACAAAAUGCAAAUAUUGCCUAUGCAAAUGUGGCAGUAGGGAGAGACACUUAAUUUACCUUGGCAAAACUGAAUUUUCUCUCACCUCCAAUCCAUAUGCAAGAAGACAAAAAUACGGUCUCAUGCUGUGAUUGUCUUCAAUUGUAUUGCUCCAAGGAAAGAGCUGGCACUGAGGGAGCUGUACUGCAAUAUUGGGUCAGAAAGUCCACGAACUGAAGUAAAAAAGCAACGCUUAACGUACUGUAUUCAAAAAUUUGCCUCAGGUUUGUUAGUUUGUUGACUGGACUACGGAUUUUCAUUUUAAUUUCCUGUUCGUUUUAGUUUUCCUGAUGACAGCAAUGACAAUUCUAGAAUUUAUGAACAUUAUAAAAACUGUUUGGAAAGACACCGUGUGAUGGAUUCAUUCAUUAAAACCGCUGCAGUUUUUCACUGUGUUGUGGAAGUCACGGUGGUAAUGGUUUGCAUUGCAAAUGUGCAAAGUAGCAUAAAAUUCUUUGAACAUGAAUUUGUACCUCACUGCAAUAAUAAUAAAAAAGAAGAUUAAUGAGUGUUUUGCAUCUAGUCUAAUGAUUGGAAUACUCUCCAAGCAAAU
ensembl:lncRNA